rnacentral:rRNA from 1 species
GAUGAACGCUGGCGGCGUGCCUAAUACAUGCAAGUCGAGCGAACAGACGAGGAGCUCUCUCCUUUGACGUUGGCGGCGGACGGGUGAGUAACACGUAGAUAACCUUCCUAUAUGACUUGGAUCACUUCGACAAACCGGAGCUACUAACAGAUAAUACUAUCUACCGCUUGGUUCUAUAAUGAUUGACGGUUUUGCUGUCACCUCUCGACGGAUCCGCUCGGCAUUAGCUAGUUGGUAAGGUAACGCCCUACCAAGGCAACGAUGCGUAGCCGACCUGAGAGGGUGAUAGGCCACACUGGAACUGAGACACGGACCAGACUCCUACGGGAGGCAGCAGUAGGGAAUCUUCCGCAAUGGGCGAAAGCAUGACGGAGCAAGGCCGCGUGAGUGAUGAAGGUCUUCGGAUAGUAAAGAUGUGUUAUUAGGGAAGAACAUAUGUGUGAGGAGCUAUGGAGAUCUUGACGGUACCUAAUCAGAAAGCAACGGCUAACUACGUG